UCUCACCCCGACAGGAGCUCGAGCUCUGCGAACGUCCACCCGUCUGUGUUUCUGUUUGAACCCACACAGGCUGUGACUGCAGGCGAGCUGGAGAAGCGCUAGAUCGCUGCGAGUACGGUGGAUGAGGCACCCAGGAAAGGACAUCACGGUGGACAGAGGAAAGGAGGCUUUAAAAACUGCUGCUCGACAAAAUUAUUUAAAGCAGGAGUCUGAGGGCGAUGUGGAGGAUCAGCUCAGCUCUGAUUUAAACUCCGGUCUGAGAGCUGAAUCGGCCGUGGCCCAAUUGGCAGCAGCAGCUCCUUCCCCGUGAGAGAGACCAAACCAUUCAACAACGUCGAAAGUUGCUUACUUCAAGAGGAAAUAUGCGGAGGAGGAGGAUUUACACCGAGGCCUACAUGGAUAUUUUCAAAAACACUUGAUACUGCAGGAGGACCGGAGCUGCAUCCUGAGGCUGUCCCUGGAGAAGCUAAGGUUCCUGGAAGAUCCUGAGGCCUACCUGAGGCGCUCCGUCCUCAUCAACAACCUGCUGAGAAAAAUCCACCAUGAGGAGGAGGAGCUGGAGGCUGAGGAGGAGGAAGAAGAAGAUGAAGUAGAUGAAGAGGAAGAAGAGGAGGGGGUUAUCGGGGAUAGGGGGCAGCGGAGGCUGAUGUACCCAGACAGGAAGAGAGUGAAGGUGCUGGUGACAGACUGCUGCUCCCCGGGCUUUGGCCUGGAGGAGCUGCAGCACUACCGGCUGGUGCCGUGUUACCCGUCAGCUGGUUGCCUGUACAGCCUGGGUACCUGCCCGGGCCUCACCCCAAACCACCAGGUCCUCCUGUACAACCUGGAUGACAAUGGCUGACUCUCUGCUCCUCACCGCCAGGCCUCUUUUCAAAGCUGGGAACUGCAGCGUCGGUUCAUGUCACAGGCAUGUGGACUCGCACUGUUUGCUCCAACCAGCAGGAGGAAGGCUGCUGCUGCUGCUGUUUUUCUCCCUGUUCACUAAAAAUGCUUUGAGGGGAAUGUGUCGCAGGCUCUGUUUCGUGCAUCAGCAGGACGUCGCCUCUUCUCGUCACCUUGCUGAGAAGCAGUGGUGGAUUCAAGAAUCUGAGAGACCAUUUUCUUCUUCUGCCUCAGGAGUGUUGAUAUUAAACUCUGCUGCAGCAUUACUGCUAUUUAUUGUUUGUGCAAAUGUAAGAGACUCUAAGCAGGCAGCAUUUUUUUAAUUCUUUGCAGCUGUAGUAUUAUUGUUUUUUAUUGUUACUGUUGCUCAUGUAAACUGUGAGCGCAUUCAGGGAUUUACAGACUGCUGGCUACUUUUGAUGCACCUUGGCUUGCGUGGAGAAUAUUUGCUGAUGUGCUUCUGUUAUCUUUUUAUGCUACUGUGUGAUUUAUGAAAUAUUCUGUGUAACAUUCCCUGGAUCGUGUGAAUUCUAAUGCUAUGAAGAACUCAAGGCACUCAUUCCCCCGGGGUGCGUUUACUGCCUGUGGGAAGACUGUUUUCUCUCUGUGGUCGAUGUCCCGUGAUUAUGUUUUCAUUUUGCAGCACUUUGCUGCCCUCUGCUGGCGAAAAAAGAUUAUCUCAAAGCAUUUCUUAGUAGUCUGUGUUCAAAUAAGAAAACAGAGGAAUGCUUACUUUAAACCUCACUCUGAUUUAGCAUUAAUAGAUGUUAUAUACAGAUUAUAACCCACUAUAGAUGUAAAGAGAUUUGUCAACAAUUAUAACAUCUGCUGAAACAUACAAUAUAGCAAACAUUUAACACAUUUUCAAAUGAGUUAUAACUGUUGGCAAACACUAUUAUUACCAUACUAAGCACCAACCUGUAGUCUGCAUAGUCUAAAUAUCCCAGAUUAUACAUAUAUGUAUAAUAAAGAGAGAUAAUGCUAGUGGCAGUAAAUACCUAAAUAUAAAAGUUUUUUUUUUGCUAUCUAAAAAGGAGGAAAUUUUUUUUUGUCAGUUCUAUGAAGUCAAAAUAGUUUUUUUCUGAUACCAAAUAUUGCUUUUGUGAAUGCAUUUCAGCCUCGUGGUGUUUUAAUGCUGGAUUUCAGAGACCAGAAGGCCUUUAACUUGAUGUUGCAUUCCAUUUUUUUCCUUACUAUGGUUCCAGCACCAGUAGUGUUUUCACAGAGGACCAAGGUUUGCUAAAGUGGUCAGAAAAUAGGUUAUUUAACACGGCACAUUGGUGCUUUAUAAAGCCGACUUACCUGCUCUAUGACAACAGCGAUUAAUUAUCCAUCCUUCUUCUGUGUCUUUUCGUGUGUUCAGUGUCUAUCCAGGAGUUUUACUGAUUUUUACAAUGUGCAUCUUGAUAACAAUCACUUAAAUGGAAAAAUAAAGUAAAAUAAGGUAAAACAACAAUGACAAACUAAAGGCAACUAUUAAAGAGAAGCUUGAUAUUUUAAAUCAAGAAUUUAUAUUUUGAUGAAUAUGAAUAGUCUGUAUUUAAGAAACUAUUUUGAAAAAGGGCCGUUAAACUUUUUUCAUGUGAUUGAUUAUCAA